rnacentral:rRNA from 1 species
GGUUGACCUCGGAUCAGGUAGGAAUACCCGCUGAACUUAAGCAUAUCAUAAGCCCGG